ensembl:snoRNA
GUUCAUUGAAAUUUAUCCCUGGCAUUGUCCUUGAUGGUUAUGCGGUGUUUAAGAUCCCCUGCUCAGAACAAAUAGAGGCCUCACAUCACCACCUGCUACCUCAGGGUAGUGGGGAAGUUGAAACCCAGGCCCCCGAGAGCC